AUGCUGGAGGUAUCAGAAGUGCGAAUGCUGACAUAAGUAACGAUAAAGCGGGUGAAAAGCCCGCUCGCCGGAAGACCAAGGGUUCCUGUCCAACGUUAAUCGGGGCAGGGUGAGUCGACCCCUAAGGCGAGGCCGAAAGGCGUAGUCGAUGGGAAACAGGUUAAUAUUCCUGUACUUGGUGUUACUGCGAAGGGGGGACGGAGAAGGCUAUGUUGGCCGGGCGACGGUUGUCCCGGUUUAAGCGUGUAGGCUGGUUUUCCAGGCAAAUCCGGAAAAUCAAGGCUGAGGCGUGAUGACGAGGCACUACGGUGCUGAAGCAACAAAUGCCCUGCUUCCAGGAAAAGCCUCUAAGCAUCAGGUAACAUCAAAUCGUACCCCAAACCGACACAGGUGGUCAGGUAGAGAAUACCAAGGCGCUUGAGAGAACUCGGGUGAAGGAACUAGGCAAAAUGGUGCCGUAACUUCGGGAGAAGGCACGCUGAUAUGUAGGUGAAGCGANNNNNNNNUUGCUCGUGGAGCUGAAAUCAGUCGAAGAUACCAGCUGGCUGCAACUGUUUAUUAAAAACACAGCACUGUGCAAACACGAAAGUGGACGUAUACGGUGUGACGCCUGCCCGGUGCCGGAAGGUUAAUUGAUGGGGUUAGCGGUAACGCGAAGCUCUUGAUCGAAGCCCCGGUAAACGGCGGCCGUAACUAUAACGGUCCUAAGGUAGCGAAAUUCCUUGUCGGGUAAGUUCCGACCUGCACGAAUGGCGUAAUGAUGGCCAGGCUGUCUCCACCCGAGACUCAGUGAAAUUGAACUCGCUGUGAAGAUGCAGUGUACCCGCGGCAAGACGGAAAGACCCCGUGAACCUUUACUAUAGCUUGACACUGAACAUUGAGCCUUGAUGUGUAGGAUAGGUGGGAGGCUUUGAAGUGUGGACGCCAGUCUGCAUGGAGCCGNNNNNNNNNNNNNNNNNNNNNNNNNNCCUUGAAAUACCACCCUUUAAUGUUUGAUGUUCUAACGUUGGCCCCUGAUCGGGGUUGCGGACAGUGUCUGGUGGGUAGUUUGACUGGGGCGGUCUCCUCCUAAAGAGUAACGGAGGAGCACGAAGGUUGGCUAAUCCUGGUCGGACAUCAGGAGGUUAGUGCAAUGGCAUAAGCCAGCUUGACUGCGAGCGUGACGGCGCGAGCAGGUGCGAAAGCAGGUCAUAGUGAUCCGGUGGUUCUGAAUGGAAGGGCCAUCGCUCAACGGAUAAAAGGUACUCCGGGGAUAACAGGCUGAUACCGCCCAAGAGUUCAUAUCGACGGCGGUGUUUGGCACCUCGAUGUCGGCUCAUCACAUCCUGGGGCUGAAGUAGGUCCCAAGGGUAUGGCUGUUCGCCAUUUAAAGUGGUACGCGAGCUGGGUUUAGAACGUCGUGAGACAGUUCGGUCCCUAUCUGCCGUGGGCGCUGGAGAACUGAGGGGGGCUGCUCCUAGUACGAGAGGACCGGAGUGGACGCAUCACUGGUGUUCGGGUUGUCAUGCCAAUGGCACUGCCCGGUAGCUAAAUGCGGAAGAGAUAAGUGCUGAAAGCAUCUAAGCACGAAACUUGCCCCGAGAUGAGUUCUCCCUGAGACUUUAAGUCUCCUGAAGGAACGUUGAAGACGACGACGUUGAUAGGCCGGGUGUGUAAGCGCAGCGAUGCGUUGAGCUAACCGGUACUAAUGAACCGUGAGGCUUAACCUU
rnacentral:rRNA from 1 species